AACUACGGCUGGCGGCGUGCCUAACACAUGCAAGUCGUACGAGAAAGUUGGCUUCGGCCGAUGAGUAAAGUGGCGCACGGGUGAGUAAUGCGUGGAUAAUCUGCCCUUUAGUUGGGAAUAACGUACCGAAAGGUGCGCUAAUACCUGAUAAUACUGCAUAACUACUGUUGUGUAGUCAAAGAAGGCCUCUGUUUACAAGCUUUUGCUGAAGGAUGAGUCCGCGUACCAUUAGCUGGUUGGUGGGGUAAUGGCCUACCAAGGCUACGAUGGUUAGCUGGUCUGAGAGGAUGAUCAGCCACACUGGAACUGAGACACGGUCCAGACUCCUACGGGAGGCAGCAGUGAGGAAUCUUGCGCAAUGGGGGAAACCCUGACGCAGCAACGCCGCGUGAGUGAGGAAGGCCUUCGGGUCGUAAAGCUCUGUCAGGUGGGAAGAAAGGCCUGGAGAGGAAAGGUUUCAGGUUUGACGGUACCACCAGAGGAAGCACCGGCUAACUCCGUG
rnacentral:rRNA from 1 species